UGGCGACCAUAGCGUUAUGGACCCACCUGAUCCCAUGCCGAACUCAGUAGUGAAACGUAAUAGCGCCGAUGGUAGUGUGGGGCCUCCCCAUGUGAGAGUAGGACAUCGCCAGGC
rnacentral:rRNA from 1 species